UACGGAGGAUGCGAGCGUUAUCCGGAUUUAUUGGGUUUAAAGGGUGCGUAGGCGGACGCUUAAGUCAGCGGUAAAAUUGCGGGGCUCAACCUCGUCGAGCCGUUGAAACUGGGUGCCUUGAGUGGCCGAGAAGUACGCGGAAUGCGUGGUGUAGCGGUGAAAUGCAUAGAUAUCACGCAGAACCCCGAUUGCGAAGGCAGCGUGCCGGCGCCCAACUGACGCUGAAGCACGAGGGCGUGGGUAUCGAACAGG
rnacentral:rRNA from 1 species